rfam:Zootermopsis nevadensis contig33100, whole genome shotgun sequence.
AAAACGGCCCUUUUAAGGGCCCCACAAAGCUCUGAGGAGUUACUU